rnacentral:lncRNA from 1 species
CUGCUGAGAUGUAGACAAGAAUCUAGAGAGAGAAAGAGAGGGAACGAGCGGGCGUACCAUGGCGCCUGACGUCUGAUGACGACCCGCGACGGCGACGGCGACGGCGAUUCUAUCCGCUUCCCACCAGCACCCUGCUCACGUUCAGCGUUAAAUAUUACGCUCAAAGAUAUCGCCUUUGCUUCAUCAAAGCCACAAAGGCUAGACCCCAGACCAAUCCCACAUCCAUGGAACCCUAAUCUCCUUCCCGGAUGGCAUAAAUUGGUGCCCAGCAUGUGGCCCGCCCCCCGAUUUCAGACGCUGCCAGAGGGGGAAAGACAGAGAGAACCGCUCUCUCCAGGUCAUCUGCCGGGCUGGGCGUGGUGGUGGGGAGGGCAGAGAGCCGCACGCGGAUAGAUCACCUAAUACGCCAGGACCAGUCGCAGUGGUCGUCUUCUUCCCCGGUCCACUUGGAUCACACGGAAAUCAAGAUCUUCUCCAAUGGAGUUCUUCCCGAUGGCAUCCGGAGGCUUGGAUUCUUCGCGGGCAUUCGUCGUUCGUGCCGCCGACUUGGAGGGGAGCGCCCGGUUGGUAGCCGAUCCCAAGCAGAAGAGAUCAUGAUGGAGGCGAACUGCACAUAUUUGGUUAAUUAAUGUCAAUGGGUUGGGCAAGAAAAUGGCUUUUCACGGAUAUUUUAGAUCAUUAGAAAUAAAGUCCAUGUUUGGACAAGAAAUGACGGCCUGACCGCGUCAGGCUGGGACUUUAAUAGGGUCAAACCUUGAAUCUCUAAUAUAGUUCCCUCCAGUCAUUUCCUUGUAUCAUG